ensembl:misc_RNA Metazoa_SRP Metazoan signal recognition particle RNA
GCCAGGCAUGGUGGUGAGUGCCUGUAAUCCCAGCUACUGGGGAGGCUGAGGUGGGAGGAUCGCUUGAGCCCAGGAGUUGGAAGUUGUAGUGACCCGAGAUCCAGCCACUGCACUCCAGCCUGGGCUACAGAGUGAAAUUCCAACUCAA